GGCCCCGGGGGGUUGCCUAUACAUGCAAGUCGAACGCGUUGGCCCAAUUGAUUGACGGUGCUUGCACCUGAUUGAUUUUGGUCGCCAACGAGUGGCGGACGGGUGAGUAACACGUAGGUAACCUGCCCAGAAGCGGGGGACAACAUUUGGAAACAGAUGCUAAUACCGCAUAACAGCGUUGUUCGCAUGAACAACGCUUAAAAGAUGGCUUCUCGCUAUCACUUCUGGAUGGACCUGCGGUGCAUUAGCUUGUUGGUGGGGUAACGGCCUACCAAGGCGAUGAUGCAUAGCCGAGUUGAGAGACUGAUCGGCCACAAUGGGACUGAGACACGGCCCAUACUCCUACGGGAGGCAGCAGUAGGGAAUCUUCCACAAUGGGCGCAAGCCUGAUGGAGCAACACCGCGUGAGUGAAGAAGGGUUUCGGCUCGUAAAGCUCUGUUGUUAAAGAAGAACACGUAUGAGAGUAACUGUUCAUACGUUGACGGUAUUUAACCAGAAAGUCACGGCUAACUACGUGCCAGCAGCCGCGGUAAUACGUAGGUGGCAAGCGUUAUCCGGAUUUAUUGGGCGUAAAGAGAGUGCAGGCGGUUUUCUAAGUCUGAUGUGAAAGCCUUCGGCUUAACCGGAGAAGUGCAUCGGAAACUGGAUAACUUGAGUGCAGAAGAGGGUAGUGGAACUCCAUGUGUAGCGGUGGAAUGCGUAGAUAUAUGGAAGAACACCAGUGGCGAAGGCGGCUACCUGGUCUGCAACUGACGCUGAGACUCGAAAGCAUGGGUAGCGAACAGGAUUAGAUACCCUGGUAGUCCAUGCCGUAAACGAUGAGUGCUAGGUGUUGGAGGGUUUCCGCCCUUCAGUGCCGGAGCUAACGCAUUAAGCACUCCGCCUGGGGAGUACGACCGCAAGGUUGAAACUCAAAGGAAUUGACGGGGGCCCGCACAAGCGGUGGAGCAUGUGGUUUAAUUCGAAGCUACGCGAAGAACCUUACCAGGUCUUGACAUCUUGCGCCAACCCUAGAGAUAGGGCGUUUCCUUCGGGAACGCAAUGACAGGUGGUGCAUGGUCGUCGUCAGCUCGUGUCGUGAGAUGUUGGGUUAAGUCCCGCAACGAGCGCAACCCUUGUUACUAGUUGCCAGCAUUAAGUUGGGCACUCUAGUGAGACUGCCGGUGACAAACCGGAGGAAGGUGGGGACGACGUCAGAUCAUCAUGCCCCUUAUGACCUGGGCUACACACGUGCUACAAUGGACGGUACAACGAGUCGCGAACUCGCGAGGGCAAGCAAAUCUCUUAAAACCGUUCUCAGUUCGGACUGCAGGCUGCAACUCGCCUGCACGAAGUUGGAAUCGCUAGUAAUCGCGGAUCAGCAUGCCGCGGUGAAUACGUUCCCGGGCCUUGUACACACCGCCCGUCACACCAUGAGAGUUUGUAACACCCAAAGUCGGUGGGGUAACCUUUUAGGAGCCAGCCGCGUAAAGGUGACAAAAAUUU
rnacentral:rRNA from 1 species